rnacentral:tRNA from 29 species
GGUAGCGUGUCCGAGCGGCCGAAGGAACAUGUCUUGAAAACAUGCGAGGGCUCUGUCCUCCGUGGGUUCGAAUCCCACCGCUACCGCCA